GGGUUGUGAGGUUAAGCGACUAAGCGUACACGGUGGAUGCCCUGGCAGUCAGAGGCGAUGAAGGACGUGCUAAUCUGCGAAAAGCGCCGGCAAGGUGAUAUGAACCGCUACAGCCGGCGAUGUCCGAAUGGGGAAACCCAGUGUGACUCGUCACACUAUCAUGUCAUGAAUACAUAGUGGCAUGAGGCGAACCGGGGGAACUGAAACAUCUAAGUACCCCGAGGAAAAGAAAUCAACCGAGAUUCCCCCAGUAGCGGCGAGCGAACGGGGAGCAGCCCAGAGCCUGAAUCAGCUUGUGCACUAGUGGAAGCGUCUGGAAAGUCGCAGGGUACAGGGUGAUACUCCCGUACACGAAAGUGCACAUGCUGUGAGCUCGAUGAGUAGGGCGGGACACGUGGUAUCCUGUCUGAAUAUGGGGGGACCAUCCUCCAAGGCUAAAUACUCCUGACUGACCGAUAGUGAACCAGUACCGUGAGGGAAAGGCGAAAAGAACCCCGGCGAGGGGAGUGAAACAGAACCUGAAACCGUGUACGUACAAGCAGUGGGAGCCUCUUUUAUGGGGUGACUGCGUACCUUUUGUAUAAUGGGUCAGCGACUUAUAUUCUGUAGCAAGGUUAACCGUAUAGGGGAGCCGCAGGGAAACCGAGUCUUAACUGGGCGUUAAGUUGCAGGGUAUAGACCCGAAACCCGGUGAUCUAGCCAUGGGCAGGUUGAAGGUUGGGUAACACUAACUGGAGGACCGAACCGACUAAUGUUGAAAAAUUAGCGGAUGACCUGUGGCUGGGGGUGAAAGGCCAAUCAAACCGGGAGAUAGCUGGUUCUCCCCGAAAGCUAUUUAGGUAGCGCCUCGUGAACUCAUCUUCGGGGGUAGAGCACUGUUUCGGCUAGGGGGCCAUCCCGGCUUACCAACCCGAUGCAAACUGCGAAUACCGAAGAAUGUUAUCACGGGAGACACACGGCGGGUGCUAACGUCCGUCGUGAAGAGGGAAACAACCCAGACCGCCAGCUAAGGUCCCAAAGUCAUGGUUAAGUGGGAAACGAUGUGGGAAGGCCCAGACAGCCAGGAUGUUGGCUUAGAAGCAGCCAUCAUUUAAAGAAAGCGUAAUAGCUCACUGGUCGAGUCGGCCUGCGCGGAAGAUGUAACGGGGCUAAACCAUGCACCGAAGCUGCGGCAGCAGUAGCGAUACUGUUGGGUAGGGGAGCGUUCUGUAAGCCGUUGAAGGUGGCCUGUGAGGG
rnacentral:rRNA from 1 species